AAAAAAAAAAAAAAAAAGAAUUUAUAUCUGCUUACUGCUGCAACAUGCAGCCCUAAACUGCACUAUCCAAAGAACAAAUGCAUUACGCCACUUUCUAAUACUUUUACAUGUUAAAUUAGACCAUUGACAUGGCCAAACGUCCUAAUACAAUUGAUGGUUACAUAAUUGAAUGCACAACAAUUGCGUCGAAACUGGAUUCUAAUAUUUUCAUGGGUGCCAAUAACUACAUGAUGCCCCCUUCUUGCAGUACCCGUUUUCGUAAAAUUUACAUACUCGCUGCCCUUUACCCUGAGGCUUGAAAGAACCUCCUCCUCCAUUUCCGUAACCAUAUGUUGGCUGCCUGUUCCAUGAUGACCUAUCCCUACCAAAACCUGAAUCUCGACCUUGAAAAUAGUUAUUAAGGUUGUCUCUUGGACCAGAAUAUCUGUUGUCACCAUUUCUUAGUUGGUUUCCCCAACUGCCUACAUUACCUGUAGAAAUGGCUGGAUUUGAAUUAGUUUGUUGCUGAGCUGAUCCAUGACCAGUCCCCCAUGCCAUGUUCAUAUUUCCUUGAGGUGCUCCCCUAUCCAAGUUUGCAGUUCCUUUUACAGUUCCCCAGCUAGCAUCUGCUGUUGAAGAUUCAGGAUGCCGUGUGUCAGAACCAGCUUCCAAUUGGCUAACCGCUGAUGGAGUAGGACUCCGGGUGUCCGAACCUGCUUCACCUUGGUUAACGGUUGAAGAUGCCAGAGGUUCUAUUUCUGAACAUUGGUUAACUGAAACGUCACUGCGCUUUGCAUCUCCCUCUACUUCAGCACUUGAAGAGGAGUGCCCACUAAAGCUUUUUUGAGGAUCAAGAAAAUUAGUCUGCCAUAACCCAAGUGACUCCUCUGUUAAAGUCGACUUAGAAGGAACUGGAGAUGCCCCGAGUGGCUCAUCUGGUGCAACGGAAUGUGGUGGCAUCCGAGAUAACUGGUGAGGUUUAUCGGUCACAGUCAACUGAGAAGACAUUUGAGUUAUUGUGUGCGGUUCAUCAGUUACAGUUGGCUGAGAAGGCAUGAGAGAUAGCCGAAGGGGUUCAUCGGAUGCAGUCAAUUGAGAAGGCAUUUGUACAUCACCAGUGGAGCUCAAUGCAUCACUUUUACCUGGAUCAGGUGCUGGGCUAAAUGGCUCAACAGGACUAAAGCAAUCAUCAUCAGAACCUGGUGUCAAUUCCCCACCGCAGCUCAUUUUUGAUGUAGGAGAAGGUAAUCCACCAAGAGAUUCCAUUGCUUCGACUUCAGCCAAAAGGUCUGAAACAGAUUCAUCAACUAAAGAGCAGAACUCAUUGGGUUCAGGAACCAUCGGCUGCCAAGUAGAUGUAUCAAUUGUGGGGUAUUGUGGGGAAGAAUGUGUCAGUUGGCCAAUUCCUGAAGUUGGAGUAGCAGCAUGAUCACUGACCCCUUCAGUCGGUUUCAGAGAAGAUGCAUUUACAAGAUUUGAAUCCCAUUCCUCAACAGAAGGUUUGGCAGGAGUAGGAGAAUAUCCACCCCAGUCACCAGCUACUUCACGAUGCUGUCCACCACCAACCACUAAACUGGACGCAGUGCUCCAACUAGGCCCCGAAUCCUGGACAGGAACAUUUGAACCAACAGACAGUUUGUUAUCAGCAGCCUGACCUUUCAAAUCCCCAUCGCUAUGCUUUGCUGUUGGACUAGGCAGAUCAGAGAAACCUAUUUUCUGAUUCUGCUCAGAUUUCUCACUAGACUUGGCCCCAGACACAAAACCAGAAUUGGAUUCCCAUCCACUUGAGGAACUGUUUAUGGCUUGAGAUCCCCAGUUCUGUCCAGAGGAUUGGCUCGAGUAACCCUCACUGUCAGCAUGUUUACAUUUCUCAUCGAUAUUAGUUCGACCCAUAGUGGUUGUGUGUGAAUUUCCAUCUGCAUGGCAUGGAUUGGAACUCCAUUUUUCAUCCCCAUGCCCUUCCCUUGCUUGAAGCAAUGGAGUUUCAAAAAGCUUCCCAGAAGGUGGAGGUGAGAGGCCAGCCCAAGACUUGCCACCUUUGGACAAUUCCCAACCUUGUAAGGAACUUUUAGCCAGUGCAGUAUUGGUAAUUGCAACAUCCACAGCCUUAGUCCCUGUGGAAGAAUGGAAGCCCAACUCAUUACUCCUUACCAGUUCAUUAUCACCAUUACCAUGGACACUAACACCAUUCUGCACCGGCUUCAGGUCAUGAUCAACUCCUUUAUUGUCUAUCCAAGUUACAUCAGUACUCUGACUGAGCCCAUGUCCCCACCUUUUACAUGCAUCAUUAGACGCAACUGUUGUUUCCUGAGGCAGUAAAUAACUGCUGCAAUGCUGAAGCGGCCCUUUAGGGAACCGGCCAACCAAUGCAUCAGUCAAAAGAAUAGAGUCAUCUUGCUUCUCAUAUAUUCUCCAUACUCUGAAAUCAGGAGGGAAAAGCCCACUGGUUUUCCAUUUACGCAGCUGGAGCAUGGAGAAUGGCCCUUGAAAUUUUCCAGAUGGAUCCUGAUAGCGCCACAGUUUUUCCGUCUCAAAGUCGAUAACAGAUGGCUCUCUCCCUGAAGAAAAAGGCGGCAAUAUAACAAGCCCGGGAAGUGAUUCAGAUCGUAAAGCUGCUUGACUAUUCCAAUCACUAGCUACUGAGCUGGUAGCACCUAACUGGUUCCUUGAUGUAUUCUGACUAUUUAGCCUGAAUACUCCCCCUCCAUGACUCCAUGUGGAUUCACCAACUCUCUCAUGAACCUGAGUAGUACCAUCGCUAUCCAUAUUAAAAAUGCACAUGCUUUUAUUUCGUUUACAUGCAGUAGCCAAAUUCUUUUCUGCACUGUUUCCUACGUCCUCGUCAACUUCUCUCAGUGAAGAAUUAAGCUCUGCACCAUUUCUACCAACACAAGUUAAUCUUGGUCUCACAUGGUCACCUGGAUUCUUUUCAUCUGAUUCUCCAGCAUCUUCCUCCGAUUCAUGACUUGGAUCCAUACUUGGGUCUGAGUGUAUGUUGGGAAUCUCAAGCAGCCUGCGCUCACGUUCCUUGGGUGACUUCAGAAGCUCUAAUUUUUCCACACAUUCUCUAAGCUCUUUUCUAUGUCCCUUCUCACUAGCUCGAUCACGAAGAUGAUUAAGCCGUGAUAUUUCUGCUUCCAGCCAAUCACUAACUUUGACAUGUUGAAGUGCCAUUGUUUUCUCCUGAAUCUCACCCACUUUCAACCGUUUGAUAAGCCCACAUUUUAUGCUCUGGCGUAAACGUCUGCAUUCAUCCUCUGAAAACUCCUGACUUGAAAUUCCAUCAAUUGAUAUAACCUCUUUCUUGUCCAAAUUUAAUAUCUCAAGCAUGAUAUUAGUUGUUCUUGAGCCAACUUUAUAUGAUUCAGCCACCUUGCUAGUACCUACAACUUGGACAAGCCUAUGCAUAUCUUGCUUUUGAUCAAAACCCGAAAUUCUAAUUCGCACGAAUGACCCAACGACCUUUUCAUGGAACUUCUCAAAGUCAUCCAAUAGGUUCUCCACCAAAUUACGCUUUAAAUACAACAAAUUAAUAUUGUGAACAUCUAUUGCUGCAUAUUCAUCUGGAUUUGGAUGAAUCAGUGGUCCCCUCUCAUCCAUCUUUUUACGCGUUCUACGCCUUUUGUCAUUGUUCGUAAUCAAUUGACUAUCAAUGCUUCCAGAAGCCUCUAACUGGCCCCCAACAGCAUCAGCAACUCCCACUCUAACAACAUCAUCAGCUGGAGAUUUUUCUUUUAUAAGAAAGUGGUAUUCAAGAAGCUUCAGCAUUUCAAAAUGACCCACACGUGGCUUUCCAAACAGAGUCACGAGCCUUGAAUCACAAACAAUUUGACAUUUCUGUCGAGGAUCACGAAGAUUGUUUCUUUUUAUGUAUUCCAGUAAAAGACCUUGGGUGUCAAACUGAGAUAGCACAGAUGUGUCUCCAUUUUUCAUGUGUGCUACAAACUCCAAGAGCUCCUUUGUUGCCCAUGUUGUUCCUUCUGGCAAAGGUGCGACUAUGUCAAUGUCUAAUUUUUCCACAACUGGAGAGUUGUUCUCAUUGAGAAGGUUUGGCUGAUCCUUAGUUUUUCUUCUCUUAGAAUGAUUUGCCUCAACAUUUUCACAGCAGUUGUCUAAACAAGAACCUUUCUGAUCAUUACCAUGAUAAGUUUCACCUGAAGAUGCCUCCUUAGGAACCACAAUGCCAGCUCCUUUCCAGGAAUUUCUAGUUUUAGGUAGUUCAUCUCCCUUCCAAGGAUUUUUAGCUUUAGUAAGCUCAUCUAUUGUUAAAGAUAGCUUAGCUUUCAAGUAAACCCAGUAGACCUUAAAGAGAUACUCCCAGCUAGUUUUGUCAUCAAAAUCCACUUGAACCUGCAAAAUUUAUAUGCAGGAGAAAACAUCUAAACAUGACAUGAUGAAAUGGCAAUUAAUUUACUAACUAUAGGUACAUCAGUGUCCCAGCUCCAAAGAACUACCUAGCUUCAACAGAGUACGAAAGAAUUUAGGAAGAAUAAGUUCAGUGCUUCACAGCAGAGUGUAAAUUAGUAUUGGUGAUAAAAAAACAACGAUAAAAAGUCACUGCAUGAAAGAAACAAUGGCAUGCAACCCACAGAAGGGUAAGGUGCUAAAAAGACAAUAAGAAGUUUUCUCCUAUAAUCUGAUGCAUAUACGCUUCAAACACGUAAUAAAAUAAAUUAAGCUAACUUAGCAGGCCAAAAAAGGAAUUUAACAUACCAUUUCUGUAUUUCCCAGCGAAAUAUUUUCAAUCAGCAUUACCGUUCUCAUGCAUGUUCCACAAAAUCCUUUAUUCCCUCUUACACACACAUAAUCAGCAUCUUUGGUGCAACCUUUACACAAGGAGUAUGGACAAGUAUAGCACAUAUAAUGUGAAGCCUUCUGACAACGGCUACAUAUAUGCCAUCCGCAAUUCCAUUUAGCUUUUGAUCUAAAGAAUGCUUCGUCCCUCUUGAUACAAGCCGGAUGAUAUGCCUUAGGGCAGCCCCGGCGAUCACAAAGCACGAGGCUGCCACCAUCAAAACAAAUAAAGCAAACAUCCUCCUCAUCUUUCUUCUUAAUCAGGGACGGAGUUGGUGGCCUGGUUUUCCCAUGAAUUCUCGGAGGCCGACCACGCUUCCGCUUGACCGUACUUAUAUCGGCAACCGCAACUUUAGCUACAGUUCUAACCUUUAUAUCCGGCAUAGUAACAUCUCCUGUCACUGCCGCUACUGCAGGCGAAGGUCCAACGAGCAGCGAAUCAUCCAUUUCCCGAAUCGUCUGGCAUUGAUCGAUGGUCAUAAGGUCGGAGCCACUUAAAGAAUUGUCAAAAAUCAGCUGCUCUGUAUCUUCUUGACUAGAAGGUCUAUUCUCCUCCACCUGCUGCUGCUGCUGUUGUUCCAUGUAUUUGAAAAGAAUAGAACAGAAUAAAAUUCAAUUGAAUUUGAGAGAAUUACUGUACUCUACAUACUGAUUAGAUUGAAAUCCAGAUGAGAGAAGAGAAAGAUGAGGGGUUCAUUGAAAGUUCAGAAAACCCUAGGUUUGAUUUUAGUAUUUUGGAGGAGGUGGUCAUCGUUGAUGAAGAAAGAAAACAACUAUAGUGGGCACAUGGAAAUAGGCUGGUUAAG
rnacentral:misc_RNA from 1 species